rfam:Oryza barthii chromosome 4, whole genome shotgun sequence.
AAUAAGUGCGGCCAUUAGUUUCCGCGCCCAAUUUUAAUCGUUCGUUUUAUUUUAAAUUUUUUUAUAAUUAGCAUUUUUAUUGUUACGAGAUGAUAAAACAUGAAUAAUACUUUAUUCAUGAUUUAUGUUUUUAUUUUUUAAAAAAAGUUUUCAAAUAAGAUGAACGGUUAAAGUUUGGUGCGGAAAACUAUGACUGCACUUAUU